GAAAAUGUUGAGGGACUAGUAACUUUGGAAAACCACUAGCCUCAGUGGCUGGUGACGGUUUAUUUGUCAAGCGCUGGAUAGAAGCCAAAAUGCCAAGAUAGUGACAGGCGGAUUUGAAAACCCUGGAGCGGAUCGCAGAAGCAGGAACGUACUAGGUUUAAAGUUUGAUGCAGCAGGAUUAGUGCAUGAACCUGGAUUUAAUCCAGUUUGAAAAUUAAACAAUGUUGGUGUAACCCGGCCUUGGAGUUGUGGUUUUAGGUGUUCCGCUUGUUGCUGUGUAUCAUUUUUUAUGUAUUUUUUAAAAUACCAUUUUGUUCCAUCAACUAUGUGCUCCUAUUAAACUUUGCUAGGAGCACAGCUGAAAUAUUUUGGAGGUGGGGCACCUCCCAUACCACCAGUGGCACUGCCCCUAGUGCUACAUCUGAUGAUGAUACAGAAGACGUCUGCAUCCAGUGAUCCUACUGUUCCUUCUGUGUCUGUUUUAACCUCAGCUGAUGUGAGAGCGACCUCCAGCCUAGACGAUGGAUCAGCAGCUCCUCCAGUUGACCCAGCUGAGUGGUCAUCUAUCUUCUCCGACUCAGACAGGACUGAUCUGGUAAGCAGAGGUCCACUGCCAUUAAAGGAAAAUUUCACAUUUCCUAAAAAACCUGAUGGUCGAAGCUUCCGCUACCACUACACCUACAGACAAUUGAUUAAUGGGUAAAAAAUCUAGUGGACCUGGCUCAUUUAUUCAAAAGUAAAUGAUGCAGUCUACUGCUUCAUUUACUUGCAGUCCA